GACGAACGCUGGCGGCGUGCUUAACACAUGCAAGUCGAACGAAAAUACCAAGCUUGCUUGGUUGAUUAGUGGCGAACGGGUGAGUAACACGUGAGUAACCUGCCCCUUACUUUCCUGGAUAACUGCUCGAAAGGGUAGCUAAUACGGGAUAUUCUGACCAGCCUGCAUGGGUUGGUUUGGAAAGGUUGUUUUUCUGGUAAGGGAUGGGCUCGCGGCCUAUCAGCUUGUUGGUGGGGUGAUGGCCUACCAAGGCUUUGACGGGUAGCCGGCCUGAGAGGGUGGACGGUCACACUGGGACUGAGAUACGGCCCAGACUCAUACGGGAGGCAGCAGUGGGGAAUAUUGCACAAUGGGCGCAAGCCUGAUGCAGCGACGCCGCGUGAGGGAUGAAGGCCUUCGGGUUGUAAACCUCUUUCGUCAGGGAACAAGGCACUGCUUUUUUGGUGGUGUUGAGGGUACCUGGAUAAGAAGCGCCGGCUAACUACGUG
rnacentral:rRNA from 1 species